rfam:Corchorus capsularis cultivar CVL-1 contig07756, whole genome shotgun sequence.
GUCAGGAUGGCCGAGUGGUCUAAGGCGCCAGACUCAAGCUCUGGUCCUCGAAAGAGGGCGUGGGUUCAAAUCCCACUUCUGAGA